CCCGACAAUGGCAUCGAUCAAAUAUCCAGCUUCUCCACCUUCGUUCAACUUUCUAUCUCUGGUUUCAUCGGCACAACUCAUUAAUUGAUUGGAUCUUUGUUUGACUCAUUUAUGAAUCAUGGAUCAAAUAGAUCUUGGUUAGAUCUGCCCAUGCAUUGAAGGAUUUGGACAGUCAAGAUUUUCAUUGUGGUUGGCUUAGGAUUCUCGGAUUGCCCAAUGGAUUUCUUGUUGUAAUAGUAUAGUGUUCUUUGGCCUCUUCUAAAAAUAACUUUCCGUAGUAUCAUCAUACAUUUCGAAGAUACAGACAGAGAAACUACAUGUGUUCAUGUGCACCCGCAUGCUUUUCUAGAAAAGUGAGGCCCAUGUGAAUUUGAUCAUCAAAUAGAAAUCAUAGGCUACCAACAUUUCAUAAUUGUUUAGUGGAUUAUACAAUGGCAAAAUCGGCAGCCAUCGCACUGUGCUCGCAGAAUACUACCAUAUAAAAACAAUGAUCAACACCAAACUAAAAUUACAUGUAAAAGAAGAUCAGAUAAUAACACCCGGCUAUUACAUAUGAGGCAAACAAAAAAAACCCUAAUCCGGUCAUACCCUAACCUUAACCGUCCAAACCUCAUCAUAAGUAAACAGAUGAACCAGGAUCAUUGAUCCAUCCUAUAAUGUGUCUCGAUUUGAUGGAACAUGGUCGAAGCCAUGCGGAACUAAUGAUCGAUGCUCAACGAAAAUCUAUUUGUAAAAAUAGAUCAAGAAACACCUUCCUGAUCUAUCAUGAAAACCAUGAACAAGUCUAACCAAGAGCGAUACGAGCAGAGGAAGGAGGAUAAGAACCUGAUGGUCACGGCUCCCUUGUUGGAUGGCGGCUCUCGACUCAAAACCCAUCGAUAAACAAGCCAGGGAUCGAGGAUGAAUCGAGGGCGACGCCAGUGGAUCCAACCCUCGGGACCUGCUCUUGGCGGUGUUCUUUCUCGGGACGAAAUGGAGACUGCUGUCUCCCUCUCCCGAGAAUACACGAAGAAUCCCCCGUUCGAUGAAAUAAAGGAUCGA
rnacentral:lncRNA from 1 species